UACGAAGGGGGCGAGCGUUGUUCGGAUUUACUGGGCGUAAAGGGCGCGCAGGCGGCUCAUUUUGUCAGGCGUGAAAGCCCCGGGCUUAACCUCGGGCCUGCAUUCGAUACGGGCUGACUAGAGUUCGGUAGGGGAGACUGGAAUUCCUGGUGUAGCGGUGAAAUGCGCAGAUAUCAGGAGGAACACCGGUGGCGAAGGCGGGUCUCUGGGCCGAUACUGACGCUGAGGAGCGAAAGCGUGGGGAGCGAACAGG
rnacentral:rRNA from 1 species